rnacentral:rRNA from 1 species
UACGAAGGUGGCAAGCGUUGUUCGGAUUUACUGGGCGUAAAGGGAGCGUAGGUGGUGCGGUAAGCCCUCCGGGAAAGCUUCAGGCUUAACCUGAAAAGGUCGGGGGGGACUGCCGCGCUAGAGGACGGGAGAGGAGCGCGGAAUUCCCGGUGUAGCGGUGAAAUGCGUAGAGAUCGGGAGGAAGGCCGGUGGCGAAAGCGAUCGACUGGACCUCUUCUGACGCUGAGGCGCGAAAGCCAGGGGAGCAAACGGG